rnacentral:rRNA from 1 species
GACGAACGCUGGCGGCGUGCUUAACACAUGCAAGUCGAACGGAAAGGCCCUGCUUGCAGGGUACUCGAGUGGCGAACGGGUGAGUAACGCGUGGGUGAUCUGCCCUGCACUUCGGGAUAAGCCUGGGAAACUGGGUCUAAUACCGGAUAGGAGCCAUUUUUAGUGUGAUGGUUGGAAAGUUUUUUCGGUGUAGGAUGAGCUCGCGGCCUAUCAGCUUGUUGGUGGGGUAAUGGCCUACCAAGGCGGCGACGGGUAGCCGGCCUGAGAGGGUGGACGGCCACAUUGGGACUGAGAUACGGCCCAGACUCCUACGGGAGGCAGCAGUGGGGAAUAUUGCACAAUGGGCGCAAGCCUGAUGCAGCGACGCCGCGUGGGGGAUGACGGCCUUCGGGUUGUAAACUCCUUUCGCUAGGGACGAAGCUUUUUGUGACGGUACCUAGAUAAGAAGCACCGGCUAACUACGUG